UGGUGUGUGGCUCAGCGGUAGAGUGUUCGCCUAGCACAUGCGAAGCCCUGAGUUGGAUCCUCAACACCACAU
rnacentral:tRNA from 1 species